UAAGCAGCAGGGAAAUUAUCCUUCUUCUUCUGCAGCUAAGGAAUGGCCACCUACUCUAUGAAGAUAUCCUGAGAGAGACAUAGGACUCAGGGACCAAGGCUCAUUUAAAGAGGACUUACAACACAGGAAAGGGAGACCACAUGGAUAUGCAUUCAAGUGAAUCCCACAAACAAACUAUGGAGCUGACCCUGAAUUGAAGGACCAUUUUGAUUCAGACAAUGGUGCUCAGAACGCCCGCACUGCUGUUUGUUCAUGCUCUGACAGCUGCAAGUUGGGGAUAUGGGGGAAGUACACCCCUAUUUGUAAUCUGGGCUAAGAUGUAAUGAAUAGAAGCAAAAUGCAAGAAGACCACCUACAACCCUGGAAGAAUAUGCAGGUGGAAGAAGUGAUUGGCGCAGGCCCUCUGACGUCACGUCAGCCUACUCUUGACCAUCGGAUGAUUCGUCAGGAGGAUCAUCUGCCUCCGACUAUGGAGGCCCUCUGACGUCACGUCAGCCUACUCUUGACCAUCGGAUGAUUCGUCAGGAGGAUCAUCUGCCUCCGACUAUGGAACGCAAAACUGCAGAAAUUGCCACAGCCACCCCAGCCUUCAGCAGCUACCACCCUGAUCCACAAGCAGUCAUCAAUGUUGACGCAGGAUCCUCCACCAGAAAAAUGAUUACGACUUGCUGAAAGUUCAGAUGAUGCAAAUACAUGCUGAGGGGAGAUGGAAAUGGGGCUGCAGAGAAGGAACCCACUUAAUGGCUUUCUAUACUCUAUAAGACUCGGAGAAUUCGGGAAACAUUGAACUGUGCUGAUUUUUUUAAAACACAGUUGGAAUUGUUUAGUAAUGCUUCAUUUGUAUGCAGAAACCCCGACACAUAUUAAAA